CUGCCUUCCCUGCCUUGGCCCUCCGGGACUGGCAGUCAGACACACUCUGUUUAACUCACGGAGCCUGACCUUUGCAGGGUUUCCAGGCUCCUCGGGCCAGGACCAUUCAAUGUCAGGAAGCUGCCCCUCUCUUGCCCAGCUAGAGGCCCCCUACUGCACGGCUCCUCAGCAUUGCUGCACCCUCUGGCCCAGGGACAGCCCUCAUCCUUGGCAUCGACACUUAUGCCCGGUCUGCCUGCCCGACACUAGGACGUGAGGUUGUGCGCACGCAGCAGCAGGUGCUGUGGGCCGCAUGGAGCUGGGCUGGUCCAGCUGCUGCUCACCCCCAGCUGACUUUCCAACAGGUGUCCACAGCUGUCCACCUUUCGGCCUUGCAGGACUGUGUGGACAGAUGUGGCCACUCCUCCAGCACGCAGGGGACAGGAAACCACGGCCAGAGGCCCCUCGCACCUUGAUCAUCUGCGCCACGUAGCUCUCGGGGCCCGUGUAGUCUGUCUUGUUUUUCACACGCACCAGCACGAUGAAGUGCAGGUAGCUCCACAUGUUGUGCUCCAGCUUGAUGUGCUCCUCGAAGGACACCGUCUUGUUGUCAAACUUGUCCCUCUCCAGACCUGGGGGCAGGGGGCAUCAGCCUCCAAGCGCCACGCGGGGCCAACUGGGGGAGGGACCCUUGUUCUCACGAUGAACACUUCUCUGGGUGACUUGGGUCACUGUUCAAGGCACACCCCUGCUAUGGCCAGCUGCAGCCCUCCCGCAAAGGCAGCUGGGACUCUGGGAGUAAUGCCACAAAUGCGGGGUGUGUCCUGCAGGUGACACCUCCACCUGAGGGCCGGGAGAGCACUGGCCAGACACCUGCCGCUCGAGGCCAGUGACGGCUUCAAGUCCCUCAUUGUGAGCCCAGUCAGAAGUGAGGGUCGCUGCCGCCCCUGCCACUCCCUCUGUCACUCAAGUGCGGCACAGUUACCAUCCCCAGGUCCGGGCUGAGCUGGCACCCUCCGGCCCUGCACCCAGUGAAUCCCCGAUGGCUAGCAGCGCCAGCCACGGGCCUCACCACAGAUGAAGCACGUGGUCUUGAGAAUCUCCUCCUUCUUCUGCUUCUCGCUGCGUAGGUCAGCGAAGGUGUCGAUGAUCACCCCGAAGAUGAGGUUCAGCACGAUGAUGAUGACAAUGAAGUAGAAGAGCAGGUCGUACACUACUCGGGCCGGGAACAGGGACUCCUGCAGGGCAGACAGCGAGGCUGGGCCCAGGGCCCCCAACCUGGCCAGGCAGGAUAGGACAGGCGACUGGGGGUGGACUAACGCUCAUCCCAGAUCCCCAGCCGCCUCUCGAAGCUGACUCAGCUUCCCACCCUGCCUCCGGCUGUGGAGAGGCCAGAAACCGGGGAGCCUCUGCCUGACUCACAGCUCCCGGCCCUGGGGCCAGGUCUGGUUGCCAAGGUCUCUCCUGGGUCUGCAGCGAGCUGGGAGGAAGAGGGGUGGGAACAAUCUCCCUGGAAACUGGCUGGGGAGGGAGGCAAGGAACCGGCCUUCCGCACAGCCUGGGGGAGCCAGGCUGCAUCCCAAGCACAGGUGUCCCUCUCCAGCGCCGGCCUGGCUGGGGCCAGAGCAGGUGCUCACGUCUUUGGAGGGCCUGCGGAGAAUGUCGCCCACGCCGCCACCAUUGCGAAGCCCGUGGUUCAUGACGGUGACGAUGCACAUGAGCAGAGUGUCACAGGCCCGCUCCGUGCUGUCGGGCUCCUCGUCCUCUGUGAGUGGACAGUGUCCUCAGACCCAGGACACUGGCGUCUGCCCUGCGCUCCCAACGCCCCCAGACAUGCCAUCUUCACCUUCCAGGACCUUGGGCACCGUGACCUCCGUCACACAGUCCAUUUUGUCCCCGCUGCACGUGUCUACAAAUGUAGCAGCUCCCUCUGGCGCCCCUGGGGGACUGGCUGGAGGGGCAGGGACAAGGUCACCACGAGGACCCUCGGGGUUGUCCCAGCAUCACACGCUCCAGGAGGCCUUGCCUGAUCCUGCGGCCCUGGGCCCAGCACCUAGGCAGGAGCCAAGCUCCCCAGAACCCAGCGGAGUCACACGUCCCUUGCAGCCCCAGGCCUGCCCCACACGGCGCCGGGAGGCCCCCAGACCUCGGGAGUGGUUGCCCGGCAGCCGGUCCACCUGGAGGAUGAAGUCGUCCUUGAGGAAGAGGAAGCCCACGAUGGAGAAGAGGUAGACGAGGAUGAGGGCCAGCGGGUCCUCUUCUUCCUCCAGCGCUGGUGCCGAGGGCUUGAGCAUCUGAGACAGCUGCUUGUUGUUGAGGCUGAGCUGGGGUCCCAGAGGGCUCCAGUCAGGCCAGAUGCCCGACAGCCAAGCAUGGCCUGAGCCCCGCUCCAAAGUCCACUCAGGAAGUGCCACCCGAGCCCACCCGGCCAGGACCCAGCUCAGGGUCAGGUGCCAAAGGGGAGUGGAGGGGCCUGGGCCAGAGAAGCCCACAGGGUGACCCGCGCCCCUCCCGGCCUGCCAGGGUGCAGCCUGGGCCCUGCUGGAGGUGCCCAGCCCUGACCAGACCCACGCAGGCCUGGCUUCCACGUCUGUCAGCAUCCAGCUCCUGCCUCCGAGCCCCACCCCUCAAAUCUUGCCCAACUCUGAUCGGGCUUCCCAUGCUGCCUUGGGGGCAGCCCCUCCGAGUUCCCCGCCUGCCCCAGGUAACCACUGACCCUCGUUUCUCACCUCUGGCCUCAUCCUCACCCUCGGGUGGCGCCCUCACCCCUGUUCCCAUACUGCUAGCCCACCCACCUGCCGCCAGGUCUAAGCUCCGCCCCGCCCCACCCCCCGGCACCCACCAUGGAAGAGAUGCCCUCGGCCUCCUCCUCCUGGAUGCGCCUCACCGGCUUCAGCAGGCCUUCUUGAUGACGUCCACCUGGGGGCCAGCACCUGCUCGAAUGCCCUCCUCCUGGGCAGUGGGUCCGGCCGGGCCCUCUGCUCAGUCCCAUCCUCCCGCCCGCCCCGGGCCCAGCCGCACCAGCUCCUGGGGCCGCAGGCUGAUGAGGAUGCGCUCUGCAUUUUCGCUGUCGUGCCGGCUCUCCAUCAAGGCCAGGAGCAGCUUGGAGGCGUUGUCCU
ensembl:lncRNA